ACGGAGGCCCGAAAGGGCCAAAAAGGCUACAUUGACCCAGCCGCAGUGGUGAUGAGGGAGGCCAGCGGGAGGAGAGAGAGCCCUCGCGGACCCCCUCCCCAUGGCUACAACAAGCCCCCCGAAGGGGCUACAGAUGUCUGUUGGGACAAACCUCUGUUGAUUGGCAGUGGGAACCAGAAAGACCCUCCCACUAGACACCACUUACCAUACAGCAUAGAGCAAGCCUCCUGGCCUCCAACAUAGUCCCAGUCCCCAGGAACAACUCCCAUUAUGAACUUCAGCUGCUUUCUUCUGUGCAAGACGAAGCCCAGUGCAUUGACACCGGGAAAGAGAAAACCCAGCUUCCAAAAAAUCGUGGAAACAGAUUUAGAGCGGGGGAAAUCACUCAAGUUCUUAUACAAUGUCGUUUGAGUCUGCAUGUGCUCCUAUUGCUUCUGAGCACCUCCACUACUACUUACUUCCAACCCCAGUAGGGUUGCCAGGUCUAGAUGAUGAAAAAAGGCUAUACCCAUCACCAAAGUGGAAACAGAGAAUGAAUUUCACCAAAAAGUAUCCAAAAGGUCUCCACUUUGCAUAAAAUUUGCAUUUGUUAAUUGGUAUUAUAUAUGCAUAUGUUGAUAAAAAUUGGUUAAUUUGAGAAUAAAUGCAGCUCACCACUGUGAAGCUGA